rnacentral:rRNA from 1 species
GGCUUCGGCCUGGUUAUUCAUACCCUUUGUUGUCCGACUCUGUUGCCUCCGGGGCGACCCUGCCUUCGGGCGGGGGCUCCGGGUGGACACUUCAAACUCUUGCGUAACUUUGCAGUCUGAGUAAACUUAAUUAAUAAAUUAAAACUUUUAACAACGGAUCUCUUGGUUCUGGCAUCGAUGAAGAACGCAGCGAAAUGCGAUAAGUAAUGUGAAUUGCAGAAUUCAGUGAAUCAUCGAAUCUUUGAACGCACAUUGCGCCCCCUGGUAUUCCGGGGGGCAUGCCUGUUCGAGCGUCAUUUCACCACUCAAGCCUCGCUUGGUAUUGGGCAACGCGGUCCGCCGCGUGCCUCAAAUCGUCCGGCUGGGUCUUCUGUCCCCUAAGCGUUGUGGAAACUAUUCGCUAAAGGGUGUUCGGGAGGCUACGCCGUAAAACAACCCCAUUUCUAAGGUUGACCUCGGAUCAGGUAGGGAUACCCGCUGAACUUAAGCAUAUC